CAACCAAAAUAGUACCCAAAAGAGCCUUUGAUAGUGUGGGCGACUUCGACUUCAAGAUCCCGAGUCCGAUAGCUGGAGAACCAAAAAUCUAUAAAACAGAGGAGCAAUGUAACGAGUAAGCAAUUUAUGCUUAGUAAGUUUGAGCAAGGAAUUCCAGCAUGCACAAAGAAUAGCACACAUUUAGCUAAACGGAAUAUUUCAUAAUACGCAAUUUACCGAUAUCAAACUUGCUUCACAACAUUAACAACCCUUAUGUACAUACACAAUAAACUAACUUGGCCGAAGGCCGGUAGCUCGUUUAUCAACUGAGCGAACAUUUAUUUGUAAGGGCUCGAUUAAAUUCAACACAUACGUAACAUAUCCCCAUAUUGGGAUGUUUUUCGAGUAUUCGCUGGAAUUUUACAGCAAGCUCAUUCAUUACCAAAUCACGUACCUUCGGGAUUUAACCGGAUAUAGCUCCUCGUUCAAAUGCAUUCGGGACAUAGCCCGGUUUUAGUAACUCACACAAUGCCUUCGGGACAUAACCCGGAUUUAACAACUCGCACGACUGCCUUCGAGACUUAACCCGGAUUUAAUAACUCGCACGAAUGCCUUCGGGACUUAACCCGGAUUUAAUAACUCGCACGAAUGCCUUCGGGACUUAACCCGGAUUUAGUAUCUCGCACAAAGGCCUUCGGAUCUUAAUCCGGAUAUAUUCACUUAUCACAAAGCCUUCGGGACUUAGCCCGGACAGCAUUCAAUUAAUCAUGCACAUCUAACAAUAAUUCAUAGCACAUUCAUAUUUCAUUUUCGUUUACGAAACUCAAACACAAGGCACAUAUUGUCCUUGCACAUUCGGCUCAAUAGCCACACAUAGAGCAUGAUUUAAUCACAUCGAAAUUUAAGCUCUCUUACUCAAGAACUUACCUCGGGUGUUGUCGAACGAUUCCGCUAGCUAUUCAACCACUUUUUCCUUCCCUUUAUCGGUUUUAUUUCCCCUUUGCUCUUGAGCUUAAUCAAACAAAUAAAUUGACCUCAUCAUUUUAGGCAUCAAAAGAUGAACACAAGGCACUUAGCCCAUAUUUAUACAUUAGACAUUAAAGUCUCAUACAUGCAAAAAUCAUGCAUCAACACAACAUAUUAGCUAAUUUCUUGCCCUUGGCCGAAUAUGCAUGUCCAUUUUUGGGGUCGAUUUCAACACUUAAUACACACAUGUACACACUAGUAAAGCAUCCUCCCCCUUUUCAUCAAUUUAACACAUGCAUUGCUCAUUAACAUGCAAAGUUACAUUCGGCCUUAGCACACAUCUUGCUAGCCGAUUCUUCUCCAUUUAGCAACCAAUGCACAUAUGUGCUCACACAACAAAAAAAUGCUAAAAAGGAGGUUCAAGAAUCAUCAAGCCAUCAUCACAUGCAUCAUUAACAAGCUUCAUAUUUUGCAUGCAAUGGCAUUAACACAACCUCCACCUAGGCCGAAUCUUAACUCAUCCUCAUGCCUCAUCACCACAACAUCAAACAUCAACCAAGAAUGAUUCAUCCAUGGUCAAGUGCCAUUUCCAUCACAUAGCAAGAUUUAGACCAUGGGUUAGGUAGAACUCAAGCUAACAACUAAAACAUGCAUGCCUCUCAUGGAACAUCAUCAAACAUACCUUAGCCUAGCUAUAUGCAUGGCCGAAUCUCUUCACCUUUCUUCUUCUUUCCUCCUUAAAAUUUUUGGCCAAGGAUGAACCAAAGGAUG
rnacentral:lncRNA from 1 species